UGGGGGAUAUUACACAAUGGGCGAAAGCCUGAUGCAGCGACGCCGCGUGGGGGAUGAAGGCCUUCGGGUUGUAAACUUCUUUUGCUCUGAACAAGGCAUGCCUUUGGGGUGUGUUGAGUGUAGGGGUUGAUUAGCGCCGGCUAACUACGUGCCAGCAGCCGCGGUAAUACGUAGGGCGCGAGCGUUGUCCGGAAUUAUUGGGCGUAAAGGGCUUGUAGGUGGCUGGUUGCGUCUGUCGUGAAAGCUCAUGGCUUAACUGUGGGUUUGCGGUGGGUACGGGCUGGCUUGAGUGCAGUAGGGGAGGCUGGAAUUCCUGGUGUAGCGGUGGAAUGCGCAGAUAUCAGGAGGAAUACCGGUGGCGAAGGCGGGUCUCUGGGCUGUUACUGACGCUGAGGAGCGAAAGCGUGGGGAGCGAACAGG
rnacentral:rRNA from 1 species